rnacentral:tRNA from 1 species
GCGAGAGUGGCGGAACUGGUAGACGCGUCAGAUUUAGGAUCUGGUAUGCUUCGCGUGUGGGGGUUCGAGUCCCCCCUCUCGCACCA